CGAAGAUGCUCCUAUAACUACAAUCGUACUGACACUGUCAUUUGUUCAAAAUUGAAGAGCAAUAAUAUGGGGAUCACUGGAAUAUUGCUGGUGUUCUCCAUCCUCCAGUUUAUCAUUUCCAUCUUUAUCUCAGGAUUUGCCUGCAAAGCCACCUGCAACACCGACUCUACAGUGGUCAAUGUGGCACUAAACUAGGGUUACUGAGUCACAAUGAGAAGAUCCUACUGUCCAAAAGUUGCAAGGAACUUUGUUGUUUGUUGAUUGUUGUUUCUGAUAACUUAAGCCAUUUUUUUUAUA